UAUAUUUCAAGCUAUGCCUAAGUUAUAGGCAUUGUGUAAUGUGCAGUCUUAAGAGUGAUAUAUGAAAUGCAAGAAUAGGAUAUGCUAUAGUCUGAAUAUGUCCCCAAAAUUCAUGUGUUGAAAUUCAGUGGCCAAUGUGAUAGCAUUAAGAGAUGUGGCCCUUAGGAGGUGAGCAAGUCAUAAGGGCAUGGCCUUCAUGGGUGAGAAUAGGGCCUCUAUAAAAGAGCUUGAGAAAAUCAGUUCCUUCUCUUAUACUCAUCCACCAGGUCAGGACACAGCAUUCAUCCUCUUUUGCCUUUUGUCCCUUCUGACAUGUGAGGACAUAGCAUUCAAGGGACCAUCUUGAAAGCAAAGACCAGGCUGCCCACCCCAGCCCAACAUGGUGAUGCACAACUUGGUGCCACCAGGCAGAUCCCAGAUACCCGGCGGGAGCUGGCGGAGCUUGUGAAGUGAAGCAGGGGCUGGCGGAAACAAUACAAACUUGGAGCAACAGAUCUAUGCUUUUGAAGGAAGCUACCUGGAAGACACUCAGAUGUAUGACAAUAUUACACCUGGCUGGGAUUGGUAUCUGACCAACCAAAUAAAAACUCCAAUAGAAAAACGAUCGAAGGAAUCAGAAAUUUAAGGAAGAUGAGCAGCUCUUCAGUAAAUCCUGUUACCUCAGCAGCUGCCGAAGUGCACUGGCAGGAGUUCAGGACUAGCUCAUUGAAAAGAGGGAGCCAGGAAGUGGGAUGGAAAGUAGCACUGCUCCAGACUUCCAUGGUGGUCAGGAAAACCAGCCCAGCCAGGAGGGCCCUGAGGAUCUGGAUGGAUCUGUUCAGGGAGGGAAGCCUCAGAAGUCUGCCUCAUCUACUUCCUUAGGGAGUCACCACAGCAGCCAUAAAAUGCGAAAGAAUAAAAACCGCCACAGGACUGAUUUGAAGUUAAACAAAAAACCACAAGCUGACUAUUAGAAGAUACAUUAGUGCAGAAGCUUUCAGGCUGUAGAGCUCUGCUUCCCUUCUCUGACCUCACAAAGGUAAACAUCCUUCACCUGAGUUUGUGGCCACCUCUGCUCUCCCAGACUCAGUGCCUGUGACUUUGAGUAGUUUGUUCUAAAUGUGGUGACAAACAAGUCAUUUCAUUAAUACAUUGGAUUUUUUGCUUUAUGUCAUUUUUAAUAACAGAACUGCAGGAAGAUCAAGACAUGGUUAUAAUCCUAGCAAGUUGCUAACUGUGCAUUUCUCCCUUCUUUGAAUGAAUGUCUCCCCCUAAACUGGCUGGCACCAGGUUCAUCUGUGAUACUCAUCAAGAAAUGUUCUCUGCUUUUGUUUUAUGCUGAAAGUAGAACACAAGUCACAUUUCA